CCUUUUCUCCACCGAAAUAAACUUUAAUGCGAACCAUUCGUUUGGUUGUGGGCUCCGUCCGCUGUUUCUGCUGCUCUGUUAAAUUUCUGGUUAAAUUUUGUGCGCAGUCAGCUCGCGAUGCAGUUCGAGGCGGCCACUCAAACGGGGUUGGAGCUUGAAAUGUGGUAGACGGGUGGGUUGGGUUGGGUUGGUUAAGGAUCGCUUAAAUGGGUUGAAUAUGGAUUGGGUUACGCAAGGGUUUGGGCAUUUAUUAGAAAUCAGUUUUUCUUUAGGGGAAUAUCUAUUGAUAUUUUGGAUCUCUGGCGAUACAGUUGGUCAGGAAACUAAACAAGCUCUAAAAUAUAUUUUUUUAAUCCUAAUUAGAUACUAAACUCAUAAUUUUAUUGGGUAUAUCGAUAGGCUUUAAUCCUUUGCGCAGUCUCGCAGCAAGCUCUAAUGUGAGGAAACCAAAAUUCAACAUUGCCGGACGGAAUGCUGGCUGCCUGCAUGCUGUUUAUAGUUUCCACUAUAAACCGUAUAUGAAUUUUGCCAUCGCUCGGUUUUUGGCACGCAAACGCACCGACCAACCAGCCAACCAACCCAGCUAGCAGGCCAGGCCAACACAACAACUAACGUCCUCGACAAGCCCCAGUCCAACAGUCGUCAGGCCGUCAUCCACUUUGGCCCCUCCACCGCUCCACCCUGGCACCCGUCCCUGGCACCACCAUUCGCUCGUUGGCCAUACAAUCUGAAAAUAUAGAAAAAGCAACAAAAACGCCGCCGACAUUUGGGAAGUUCGUUCGUUCGUUAGUAUCGCCAGAGCCAGAGCCUCGCACAGCAGAUAUGUAUGUACAAAUACGAACGAAAGCACCAACACACGCAUACUAUUCUCGUAUACAGUCGUGCAACAACCGUACGUACACAUACAAAUUUAUAUAUAGUCACCGAUACAGGCGCACUGGAAGCAACGACGGACGAAAUGCUCUAUAGAUAUAGAUAGAUAGGACCGCGUCGCGUCGGGGGCUGAUAAUGGGGGAUGGUUGGAUGUGGCUUAUAGGGAAGGUGAAAACGAAAGAUCUUUAGGGGAUAACUGCCAUGGAGGGAGGUUUCUGGAAGCCAAACUAAUUAGACUCUUCAAUUUCAUAAUAUUUACCACCAAAAUCUAAGGGGAUUCCUAAAUUUAAGAAAGAAUAUUGAGAAUUAUUUGUUUAAAAACAAAUGAAAUUUAGGUUUUGAAAACCUUGUAGUUGUUAGAAAGAUCUUAAAUAAUGGAUCAUGGAAUUAUUUUGAGGGACAGAUUGGAACAAUUGAACUAAUACUGAAAGUUAUCUCUCAAGAAAGAUAAUGUUAAGUUGAUAUGGAUGAUGGUCAAUUUGGUCGAGUAUUUGGUUAUAUUCUUUACUCUUUAAAAGAUAUUCUGGAAAUAAUUAAAACUUAAAUUCGUCAUAUUCUACAGCAU